GGGGUGGAGAGGGUGGUUAAGGCGUACGGGGAGCAGGCAGAGGGGAGGAAUCACUUCCACUGUCCUGUCUCACAGCGGAGUACAGACUGGACAACAAUUCAGAAUCUUUCAAAAUAGCUGCUAGACUGUAUCAAAUGCCAGUAUCUGUUAUUUGUCUGAGCUCCCGAGAGAACUCUGGCACCUGGAGAGGUUCAGAGACAGCACAGGACACUGCGCUGAGCUUCGGGCAAAGCUCCACUUCCCCUCAGCAGUACCAGGUGAUUGCCCCACUGCUCACUAGAGGAGUGAAGUUUGGCUGCCAAUCAAAGGCCAGGCUGGAGAGACAGGCUUCUCUGUGGCGCUCAACCUUGGUGAGCGUCAGAAUCUCUCCAGGAGGCCUUCAAAGGAAGCUGAAAAGCUUUUCUGUCUGGGGCCACUGAGGCUGCUGUCCCCAUGCCCUAUAUUGUGCCAAGAGCUGAGGCACCAGUGACAUUUGACCCUGUCCUCCCUAGGAUUCUACUGUGACACUGUACUUCAUACAGACAGUUCUAUGUA